GAUGAACGCUGGCGGCGUGCCUUAUACAUGCAAGUCGAGCGAACGGACGAGCUGCUUGCUUUUCUGAUGUUAGCGGCGGACGGGUGAUUAACACGUGGAUAACCUACCUAUAAGACUGGGAUAACUUCGGGAAACCGGAGCUAAUACCGGAUAAUAUUUUGAACCGCAUGGUUCAAAAGUGAAAGACGGUCUUGCUGUCACUUAUAGAUGGAUCCGCGCUGCAUUAGCUAGUUGGUAAGGUAACGGCUUACCAAGGCAACGAUGCAUAGCCGACCUGAGAGGGUGAUCGGCCACACUGGAACUGAGACACGGUCCAGACUCCUACGGGAGGCAGCAGUAGGGAAUCUUCCGCAAUGGGCGAAAGCCUGACGGAGCAAUGCCGCGUGAGUGAUGAAGGUCUUCGGACCGUAAAACUCUGUUAUUAGGGAAGAACAUAUGUGUAAGUAACUGUGCACAUCUUGACGGUACCUAAUCAGAAAGCCACGGCUAACUACGUG
rnacentral:rRNA from 1 species